AGAAUCAACGCUGGCGGCGUGCCUAACACAUGCAAGUCGAACGAGAAAGUGGGAGCAAUCCCAUGAGUAAAGUGGCGCACGGGUGAGUAACACGUGACUAACCUACCCUUGAGUGGGGAUAACCUAGGGAACCUGGGCUAAUACCGCAUAAUACCUACGGGUCAAAGGAGCAAUUCGCUUUAGGAGGGGUCGCGGCAGAUUAGUUAGUUGGCGGGGUAAUGGCCCACCAAGACAGUGAUCUGUA
rnacentral:rRNA from 1 species